UACGGAGGGUGCAAGCGUUGUCCGGAUUUAUUGGGUUUAAAGGGUGCGUAGGUGGCCUUGUAGGUCCGUGGUGAAAGCCUCUCGCUUAACGAGAGAACUGCCAUGGAUACUGCAAGGCUUGAGUCCAGACGAGGUUGGCGGAAUGGAUGGUGUAGCGGUGAAAUGCAUAGAUACCAUCCAGAACCCCGAUUGCGUAGGCAGCUGACUAGGCUGGUACUGACACUGAGGCACGGAAAGCGUGGGGAGCCGAACAGG
rnacentral:rRNA from 1 species